UGGGGAAUAUUGGACAAUGGGCGAAAGCCUGAUCCAGCCAUGCCGCGUGUGUGAAGAAGGUCUUCGGAUUGUAAAGCACUUUAAGUUGGGAGGAAGGGCAUUAACCUAAUACGUUAGUGUUUUGACGUUACCGACAGAAUAAGCACCGGCUAACUCUGUGCCAGCAGCCGCGGUAAUACAGAGGGUGCACGCGUUAAACGGAAUUACUGGGCGUAAAGCGCGCGUAGGUGGUUUGUUAAGUUGGAUGUGAAAUCCCCGGGCUCAACCUGGGAACUGCAUUCAAAACUGACUGACUAGAGUAUGGUAGAGGGUGGUGGAAUUUCCUGUGUAGCGGUGAAAUGCGUAGAUAUAGGAAGGAACACCAGUGGCGAAGGCGACCACCUGGACUAAUACUGACACUGAGGUGCGAAAGCGUGGGGAGCAAACA
rnacentral:rRNA from 1 species